AGCGAACGCUGGCGGCGUACUUAACACAUGCAAGUCGAACGAGGAUCAUCGGGUUAGCAAUAAUUCGGUGGUCCUAGUGGCGCACGGGUGAGUAACACGUGGGUGACCUGCCCUUGAGCUCGGGAUACCCCCUCGAAAGGGGGGCUAAUACCGGAUACGUUCCUCGGUCGAAAGACUGAGGAGGAAAGGUGGCGCAAGCUGCCGCUCUUGGAGGGGCUCGCGGCCUAUCAGCUAGUUGGCGGGGUAACGCCCACCAAGGCUAUGACGGGUAGCUGGUCUGAGAGGACGACCAGCCACACGGGGACUGAGACACGGCCCCGACUCCUACGGGAGGCAGCAGUGGGGAAUUUUCCGCAAUGGGCGAAAGCCUGACGGAGUGACGCCACGUGUGGGACGAA
rnacentral:rRNA from 1 species